rnacentral:tRNA from 1 species
CGGGCAUUAGCGCAGUUUGGUAGCGCGUCCCGUUUGGGGCGGGAAGGUCAUAAGUUCAAAUCUUAUAUGCCCGA